rnacentral:rRNA from 1 species
AAACUUUCAACAACGGAUCUCUUGGUUCUGGCAUCGAUGAAGAACGCAGCGAAAUGCGAUAAGUAGUGUGAAUUGCAGAAUUCAGUGAAUCAUCGAAUCUUUGAACGCACAUUGCGCCCCUUGGUAUCCCGAGGGCAUGC